rnacentral:rRNA from 1 species
AUAGCGUAUAUUAAAGUUGUUGCAGUUAAAAAGCUCGUAGUCGAAGUUCUGGCUGGCCUUGUUUUGGCUCCGGUCGACUCAAGGCCUAGUCAUCCGUCGGAGAACCCUUGUCGUCCUUUACUGGUCGCUUGGGGGAACUGACCCUUUACUUUGAAAAAAUUAGAGUGUUUCAGGCAGGCUCUCGCCCGAAUACUCCAGCAUGGAAUAAUGGAAUAGGACUUUCUUCUAUUUUGUUGGUUAUUAGUGGAAAGUAAUGAUUAAUAGGGACAGUUGGGGGCAUUCGUACUUAAUUGUCAGAGGUGAAAUUCUUGGAUUUAUUAAAGACGAACUAAUG